AACAAAGAAUAAAAAAUGGCUUAGAACCAUUUAACUGCUCUACCUAUCAGCACUUUGUUA
rnacentral:tRNA from 1 species